rnacentral:rRNA from 1 species
CAGUAGCCGCGGGAAUACAGAGGGUGCGAGCGUUAAUCGGAUUUACUGGGCGUAAAGCGUGCGUAGGCGGCUUUUUAAGUCGGAUGUGAAAUCCCUGAGCUUAACUUAGGAAUUGCAUUCGAUACUGGGAAGCUAGAGUAUGGGAGAGGAUGGUAGAAUUCCAGGUGUAGCGGUGAAAUGCGUAGAGAUCUGGAGGAAUACCGAUGGCGAAGGCAGCCAUCUGGCCUAAUACUGACGCUGAGGUACGAAAGCAUGGGGAGCAAACAGGAUUAGAGACCCCGGUAGUCCCUGUCUCUUAUAU